GAUGAAGAACGUAGCGAAAUGCGAUAAGUAAUGUGAAUUGCAGAAUUCAGUGAAUCAUCGAAUCUUUGAACGCACAUUGCGCCCCUUGGUAUUCCGAGGGGCAGGCCUGUUCGAGCGUCAUUAUAACCCCUCAAGCUCAGCUUGGUGUUGGGGCCUGCUGCACUGGCAGCCCUUAAAAUCAGUGGCGGCGCCAUCUGGCUCUAAGCGUAGUAAUUCUUCUCGCUAUGGAGUCCUGGUGGAUGCUUGCCAUCAACCCCCAAUUUUUCUAUGGUUGACCUCGGAUCAGGUAGGGAUACCCGCUGAACUUAAGCAUAUCAAUAAGCGGAGGA
rnacentral:misc_RNA from 1 species